rnacentral:rRNA from 1 species
CAGCAGCCACGGGAAUACGUAGGUGGCAAGCGUUGUCCGGAAUUAUUGGGCGUAAAGGGCUCGCAGGCGGUUUCUUAAGUCUGAUGUGAAAGCCCCCGGCUCAACCGGGGAGGGUCAUUGGAAACUGGGAAACUUGAGUGCAGAAGAGGAGAGUGGAAUUCCACGUGUAGCGGCGAAAUGCGUAGAGAUGUGGAGGAACACCAGUGGCGAAGGCGACUCUCUGGUCUGUAACUGACGCUGAGGAGCGAAAGCGUGGGGAGCGAACAGGAUUAGAUACCCCCGUAGUCCCUGUCUCUUAUAC